UCAUUAGUUUUUUAAUUGAAGGCUUGUAUGAAGGGUUGGACAAAGAAUAAUCUGUUUCUAUUUUUGUUUUUGAAUUUAACUUUUAAGUGAAAAGGCUUAAAUACUUUUAAGGGACGAUAAGACCCUAUAAAUCUUUAUAUUAAAUUGUCUUUAGUUGAUUAAUAUUGUAGACUCAAAAGUAAGAUAAAAUAUAUUAUGUUGGGGUGACGAGAAUAUAAUAAAUACCUGUUCUAAGAUAGAAACAAAAAUUUUUGAAUAGCAGAAGAUCCUCUUUAUUGAGAUUAGGAGUUUAAGUUACUUUAGGGAUAACAGCGUUAUUUUUUUUGAGAGUUCUUAUCGAAAAAAAAGUUUGCGACCUCGAUGUUGAAUUAAAUUUUCUUUGUGGUGUAGAUGUCACAAGAGAGAGUCUGUUCGACUUUU
rnacentral:rRNA from 1 species